GGUGACGGCCUACCAAAGGCGACGACGGGUAGCCCGGCCUGAGAGGGUGUCCGGCCACACUGGGCCUGAGAUACGGCCCAGACUCCUACGGGAGGCAGCAGUGGGGAAUAUUGCACAAUGGGCGCAAGCCUGAUGCAGCGACGCCGCGUGGGGGAUGACGGCCUUCGGGUUGUAAACCUCUUUCACCAUCGACGAAGGUCCGGGUUCUCUCGGAUUGACGGUAGGUGGAGAAGAAGCACCGGCCAACUACGUGCCAGCAGCCGCGGUAAUACGUAGGGUGCGAGCGUUGUCCGGAAUUACUGGGCGUAAAGAGCUCGUAGGUGGUUUGUCGCGUUGUUCGUGAAAUCUCACGGCUUAACUGUGAGCGUCCGGGCGAUACGGGCAGACUAGAGUACUGCAGGGGAGACUGGAAUUCCUGGUGUAGCGGUGGAAUGCGCAGAUAUCAGGAGGAACACCGGUGGCGAAGGCGGGUCUCUGGGCAGUAACUGACGCUGAGGAGCGAAAGCGUGGGGAGCGAACAGGAUUAGAUACCCUGGUAGUCCACGCCGUAAACGGUGGGUACUAGGUGUG
rnacentral:rRNA from 1 species